CCUACGGGUGGCAGCAGUGGGGAAUAUUGGGCCAUGGGCGCAAGCCUGACCCAGCAACGCCGCGUGAAGGAAGAAGGCUUUCGGGUUUUAAAAUUCUUUUUACAGGGAAGAGUAGAAGACGGUACCUGUCGAAUAAGCCACGGCUAACUACGUGCCAGCAGCCGCGGUAAUACGUAGGUGGCAAGCGUUGUCCGGAUUUACUGGGGGUAAAGGGCGUGUAGCCGGGUUGACAAGUCAGAUGUGAAAUCCUGCGGCUUAACCGUAGAACUGCAUUUGAAACUGUUGAUCUUGAGUACUGGAGAGGCAGACGGAAUUCCUAGGGUAGCGGUGAAAUGCGUAGAUAUUAGGAGGAACACCAGUGGCGAAGGCAGUCUGCUGGACAGCAACUGACGGUGAGGCGCGAAAGCGUGGGGAGCAAACAGGAUUAGAUACCCGAGUAGUC
rnacentral:rRNA from 1 species